CCUACGGGAGGCUGCAGUGGGGAAUAUUGGACAAUGGGGGCAACCCUGAUCCAGCCAUGCCGCGUGUGUGAAGAAGGCCCUCGGGUUGUAAAGCACUUUCAGUGAGGAAGAACGCCUGGUGGUUAAUACCCAUCAGGAAAGACAUCACUCACAGAAGAAGCACCGGCUAACUCCGUGCCAGCAGCCGCGGUAAUACGGAGGGUGCGAGCGUUAAUCGGAAUUACUGGGCGUAAAGCGCGCGUAGGUGGCUUGAUAAGCCGGUUGUGAAAGCCCCUGGCUCAACCUGGGAACGGCAUCCGGAACUGUCAAGCUAGAGUGCAGGAGAGGAAGGUAGAAUUCCCGGUGUAGCGGUGAAAUGCGUAGAGAUCGGGAGGAAUACCAGUGGCGAAGGCGGCCUUCUGGACUGACACUGACACUGAGGUGCGAAAGCGUGGGUAGCAAACAGGAUUAGAUACCCUAGUAGUC
rnacentral:rRNA from 1 species